ACGGGUGAGUAACGCGUGGGAACAUACCCUUUUCUACGGAAUAGCUCUGGGAAACUGGAAUUAAUACCGUAUACGCCCUACGGGGGGAAGAUUUAUCGGGGAAGGAUUGGCCCGCGUUGGAUUAGCUAGUUGGUAGGGUAAAGGCCUACCAAGGCGACGAUCCAUAGCUGGUCUGAGAGGAUGAUCAGCCACAUUGGGACUGAGACACGGCCCAAACUCCUACGGGAGGCAGCAGUGGGGAAUAUUGGACGAUGGGCGCAAGCCUGAUCCAGCCAUGCCGCGUGAGUGAUGAAGGCCUUAGGGUUGUAAAGCUCUUUCACCGAUGAAGAUAAUGACGGUAGUCGGAGAAGAAGCCCCGGCUAACUUCGUGCCAGCAGCCGCGGUAAUACGAAGGGGGCUAGCGUUGUUCGGAAUUACUGGGCGUAAAGCGCACGUAGGCGGAUAUUUAAGUCAGGGGUGAAAUCCCAGAGCUCAACUCUGGAACUGCCUUUGAUACUGGGUAUCUUGAGUAUGGAAGAGGUAAGUGGAAUUGCGAGU
rnacentral:rRNA from 1 species